rnacentral:rRNA from 1 species
AUGGGCCGCGGCCGUGCCAGGGGGCGCCCUCCGACCCCCUCCGACUCCUCAUCGUCGGAGGAGGAGCUCCUGCUGCCGGUCGGCGUGGAGGAGGAUGAGGACGAGGCGGACGAUGAGUCGGGGGACGACGACGAGUUCGUACUACUGCCGGUCGGCGCGGAGGUGGAGGUGCGCAGCGAUGACCCUGGCUUCGCCGGCUCCUUCUACGAGGCCACCGUCGCCGGCCACCUGCUCACCGCCGGCCGCCGCGGGCGCUACACGGUGGCCUACACCACGCUCCUGGCCGACGACGGGGACGACGAGCCGCUCACGGAGACCGCGGCCGCCGGCAACGUGCGGCCGCGUCCACCACCGCCCGAGGCGGGGAGGGAGUUCGCGGUCCACGAGAUGGUGGAGGCGUUCCACAACGACGGGUGGUGGGCCGGCGUGGUCUCCGCCGUCCUCCCGCGGCCGGUUAUCGACGGAGAUCGCCGGCAGCCGAGGGCGUACGUGGUCACGUUCCCCACGUCGCGGGAGACGCUGGAGUUCGGGGAGGCGGAUCUGCGGCCGCACCGCGUGUUCGAGGGCGGCCGGUGGGUCCCGGCUGCAGAGGUGGACAAUGGAAGUCCUUUGUUCGGUGAGGGAAACCAAGUUGAAGUGAGUGGAAAAUCCUUCGGUGCAUUCUGGAGUCCAGCUACUGUUCUUAAAGUGAUUGGUGCUACAAAUUUUCUAGUAGAGUACAUGCAUAUUGAAAAUGACGGGGAAUUGGCCACUGGGAUUGUCGAUUCUCAAGAUAUUCGGCCAGCACGCGCCAUCACCCGUAUGGACUCCAAGUACAGAUUUUCUCCUUCUUCUCAUGUCGAGGUCCAUCAUGAAGAUAGUUGGUGGCCUGGUGUUAUUGUUAAGGUUUUAGGUAGUGGAAUCAACAAGAAGUAUGUGGUGAAAUUGAAGAAUCACGAGACAGACAUGGAAGACGUGCAACCUGUGGAUGUUUUGACGGUUCAAAAUACGCAACUAAGGCCACGGUUUGACUGGGACGGUAAAAAAUGGGUACGCUGCGUGAAAGAGCCUUCACACCAAAAUUAUGUCCAUGAAAUGCAUCCAUGUCAGAAAUCUUCUCGAAAAAGGCUAGUUUCCGCCUUGUAUGAUGACUCUGAUAAAAUCAGUAAUGAACGUGAUUCUCAUCGUGACAAAAAGUUGAAGAAUGAAGAUGUGAUAUCAGGAAAAAAAGCUCCUCUUUCUCUGUCCAUUUGCAAUGAGAACAAUGAAAUUACUCAUAAUCAACGGAAUGCAGUAUUGGCAUUACGGUCUGAGCUAUCACUUCCUUCACUGCCACCAAUGGCAGCACUUAACCAGCUGAGUUCAUCUUCACUUGCUCCAAGCUGUCAUCUGGAACAAUCAUCUUCUCAGAUGAUUGUCAUACCAUCUACGCCAGAAAGUUGGCAGUUACGGGCUUUGUUGUUUGCAGCGUUUGGACAACCAACAGCUGACUCACAGGACCAACUAUUAGGUUCAGAAGAGGGUAGUGGAAUAGAUGAUCUUCAGCAAGGAGGCUAUGUUGGUGAAACUAGUGUUGAGCAGGAUACUGGUGGAGAAUUAUGUCAGAGGUAUUUGGUUAUGGCUGAUAAUGCCAACGUUCCUUUGUUGCCUUCAGCAGAGAGUUGUGAUGCUAAUUUGCACGACAACCGGCUCUCCAAGGACAACACGGCAGCUGCGAUGGAGUGUGUUACUUCUAAUGCUGCUCCAGCAGAGGACUUGUCUCUCAUACCUGUAGCUACUUUAGAUCGUGCUGUACCUAAUCUGUUGCCAGUAGAGUGGGAUUUGGAGGUCAAUAUAACGGAAGAUAUGGAUGAGGAGAACCAUCAAGGGAAUGUGGUUGGGUUAGCCAGCAAUGGGCAUCAUAAUCAGUAUACUAGUGUUGACUGCCCAUUCUCAGCCACAUCUUUAACCGCACUCGAGGAUGACAUGAUUACCACUGAAAGUCCAAGCAGGAAGUUCUUAUGCAGUAGCCAAUCCACCGAGAAGUCGACAGUAACUCGGCUGUCUUCUAUUGGUAUGAGCAAUUAUAGUGUGACAGAACCUUUCGAUGAUAGCUUGGCCACAACAAAUGAUUCUGUCUUUCCCUUGUCGUCGGAAUCUGUAGCUGUGCAUGAGAGUACCAUGGACACGAAUGGCCGGCUUUCAGGAUCCUUGACAAUCCAGCAUCUUCCAUUUGUGAAGACCUCUCCAAUGUGGGCACAUCUUGAGGCACUGGAAAUAUUCAGGAAAGCGCCGCAGCGGCCACAUUUUCGUCAGUUCGAGCAGUAUUGUCCAGAGCUCCGCGAAGGGAUGGCAUUAGGUUUGAUGCACUCCUUUGCCAACUUAGCAGAAAGCAUCAACAUGCUGGAUGUUCAGGGUGACAAAGAAGUACUCGAACAGAAGAUGAAGAGCCUUGCUUUGCUCGAGGAGAAUGGUUUCGACGUCACGUGCCUGAGAUCACGAGUGGAAACUUUACUUGCCACAGAUAAUACUCGCGUCGAAAAGCUGGAGGAGAAGAUUGCUCGCAUAGAAACCUACGACCAAGAACUCGGCAUGCAAGUUCGCGCGCUAGCUAUGACCGUCCAUCGUCUCGAACUGCAUGCGUAUCUCAUGCGCAACAUGGUGCGGUCCGCCAUCAAGCGGAAGAUGAGCAAUGCUGUGAAGAUCUCAAGACUCAAGGCCGAAGCAAACGAUCUUGAGAGAUCAUAUCUUUCCAACGCCGCGCCACGGUGA